rnacentral:rRNA from 1 species
CACGUAGGGGGCGAGCGUUGUCCGGAUUCAUUGGGCGUAAAGGGUGCGCAGGCGGUCCCGCAAGUCAGGCGUGAAAUCCCCGGGCUUAACCUGGGAAUGGCACUUGAAACUACGGGACUGGAGUAUGGCAGAGGGAGGUGGAAUUCCACGUGUAGCGGUGAAAUGCGUAGAGAUGUGGAGGAACACCGAUGGCGAAGGCAGCCUCCUGGGCCAAUACUGACGCUCAUGCACGAAAGCGUGGGGAGCAAACAGG